AUGGUCAAGAUUUGUGAAAAAUGGUCCAGAUUUGGGUCUGUGCGGGUCAACAAUGUGGUCAAAGGGCUUCAGGUGACCGUGACCCUGCUGGAGUGCGGGGGGGACCUCCAGCCCACCGGGGGGUCCCUGCGCCUCCUCUGCCGAGGCUCCGGGUUCGAUUUCAGGAGUUACCCAUUGAGCUGGGUGCGCCAGAGACCCGGGCAGUGGCUGGAGUGGCUCGCAGGCAUCUGCAGCGAUGGUUCCUACAUCUCCUACGCGCCAUCGGUCAAGGGUCGGUUCACGAUCUCCAGGGACAAUGGGCAGAGCUCGGUGACGCUGACCAUGAACAACCUCAAGGACGAGGAUUCUGCCACCUAUUUCUGUGCCAAGGGUUUUGCUGGUUGUGCUUGUGACAACGAUCCCUGCUGGUUCCACAUUGAUUUCAAACGCAAUACCACGUUAAGAACCUGCAAACCCCCCUGGGACCCCAACUCCAGCAAAUCCCGGCCUUGGCCUUGA